rnacentral:rRNA from 1 species
CCUACGGGGGGCUGCAGUGGGGAAUAUUGGGCAAUGGGCGAAAGCCUGACCCAGCGACGCCGCGUGGGCGAUGAAGGCCUUCGGGUUGUAAAGCCCUGUCAUGCGGAAAGAACGACCCUGUGACGCAUACUCACAGGGAGUGACGGUACCGCAGGCGGAAGCACCGGCUAACUCCGUGCCAGCAGCCGCGGUAAUACGGACGGUGCAAGCGUUGUUCGGAGGUGUUGGGCCGAUAAUGCAAGUCAGAUGUGAUAUACUCCGGCUCAACUGGGGAACUGCAUCUGAAACUGCAUAACUAGAGUACAGAAGAGGGAAACGGAAUUCCCGGUGUAGAGGUGAAAUUCGUAGAUAUCGGGAGGAACACCAGUGGCGAAGGCGGUUUCCUGGUCUGAUACUGACGCUGAGGCGCGAAAGUGUGGGGAGCAAACAGGAUUAGAUACCCGGGUAGUC